GAUCUACAGCAUGGAGCAGAGCCAGGCUGUGGCACACAGCCUUUCCCAGCUGCUGGUGUUUCAGCUGAGGUAGGUUUCCUGGUUUGCCCUCAUUUCUCAUCUCCGCAGCCUCCUCCUGACUUUUAGAAAUUAUUGCUGUAUAAGAGCUGAGCAUCUUGUGUGGCAUUCAAGAGGAGACGAGUUAGUUUCAAGCAGCAGAGCUUUGCUGAGCUGACCUGGCUCUUCUAAAUCAGACUAUGCCAUGAAGGGAGCAAUCAACUCCAGCAAAGGGAAGGACAGCAAGCAGAUUAGAGCUGUGGAAGACUUGAAGAGGAAUCAGACAGGAUGAAUCUACAGACACAACAGCUAAUAGAGCCUUGGCUGCCAGACCUAGACUCUUCAAUCAACAGAGACAAGUGACACCCCAAUCAUCCAGCAGCAAGGAAGAAGCUUGUGUUCUGGACAAUUCACCCAUUAGAGUCUGUUUUCUGAGCCCAUUGAGAGGACACAUUUUCUGCUACCUUGAAUUCUGAAGCCAUGGGAAAUAACUGAAGGGGAUUAUUUGAGCCCUCCCACACAGGCUCUAGGAUGCAGAAUCCUCCUGUUUCCUUGCUGGCCAUAAGGACCAUAUCUUGUCAAGUGCCACAGUUUCAGUAGAGAGCUGCCAUUGUUACAGGAUUUUGGUUCCCAGACCAAGAAUUGGAAGAGAGAUUUGUCUGGGAGGGAAUAGGAAAUAGAGUUUGUCAUUUUUUCCCUCUCUUCUUUUUUGGUGAAAGACAACAGGGAAAAUGUGAAGAAAGGUAUACAGGAAAAUAGUAGAUCUGAAGAAAUCAGUCCCUGCUGGAAAAAACAUUCUUGCUUCCAAGAGAAGUCAAAGUAAAAUUGUGAAAGGCACUUACCUGACUUUCAAGGAAUACAAACUCCUAGAGGUCCUCUGGCUUUGGAAAAAUGUGUCUGAAUCUUCCACAGUUCAUAAAUGAAACUCUUUGAUUUGGAUGAGGAUGAUUUCCCCUCUGAAGAAAUAGCAAGCACCCACCCCACUGGCUUGUUCACCAUCCCUUGCUACAAGAUGGGAGAGCACUAAUAAGCAUAGAAUAUGCCUGAUCCAUCUUUCCUUCUGAUUGCCUGAUCCUGGCCUUUCCUUCUCCUCAUUCUUUUGAUGCUGAGUGCUUCCAGUUGUGUCAGCCUGUACUCGGCAGUAUUUUGUAUUUUCUUUCAGUUUCUCUCUCCCUCUCUGUAGGAUUUCACCAGCCUAUUAGUGUUAGAAUGUGUUUAUUAAAUCCAGAUAUCUAUUUAUCUAUUGCUCUAUCUUUAUGCAAUUCAUAUACAUGUAUGUCUGCUGAGACAUGGUCCUGGGUAUAAUGUUCCAUUAGAGUGAAAUGUUUACAUAAAGGAAACUGAGGAGUUUAGCUAUUAUAAACCUGGACACUGUCAGUUUACUUACAAGAAUGUCACACGCAGCCCAUGGCAAACCUUAAAUUGAGACCCUAUCACAUCUCUCCUUUCAUAUCUGUGCCUUUAUAUCUUCACUUGUGACCCAUCACAGACAUGUUGUGGAUUAGUUCAGACGCAAUAAGAAUCUUAGUAUCAAUGAGUAGCACCAUUAUUGGAAACACACUGUGUCUGUGCAGGGUGAAUAUCAAGACUGUUUCUUUUUUUCUGAGAGAAUAUCUAUUCCCAUAAACUCAGAAAAUUAUCACGCAGUCUGAUACAUCUGUCUCUCCUUCAGAAAUAACUUUACAUAUAAGAACUAAUUUUUUUUUCCUUAUUGAAAAGAAAGUACAUGGCAAGCCCCCAGUCCCCAUCCAUGGAAGGUACUGAAGCAAGGAUUUGAGAAGGAUUAGAGGAGUACCAAGGGUUGUUAGAUGAACCAGAGGUACUUACCACAUGGAAAGCAAUUUGGAAAUACCUGCCUUUUCCUACAAGCUGGAUUCUCUGCUCUGGGAAAACACAGUUCAUUUUUAGAUCCAGUAAAUAACAAGAUGUUGGGUGACCACCAAAGACAGGCACUGCUCUGUUUAAAACCCUGCCAGCUAGCCAUACUCACUUCCAGAGUAACUCCUGGCACGAUCACAAGCUGGUGUGAUUUUAAACAUAAGCACUUGGCUGUGGCCAGCAAUGCCUUCAGCUGAGGAGAGGGAAAUCCAGCCUUUUUCCCCUGGUCCCUGCUGCUGGAGUCUGCUGAUCACACUGUGGGUCUCGCUCCUGGCAGCGAUGCUCCCACAGCCCAGCUCCCUCCUGCCUCACCCCCUGAAAGGCAGCACAACUCUAAUGACCUCCCAUGCACUUACAUCUAACAAAUACAUUUUAAAAAACAGAAUCAGACCUCACACAUCUACGACCACUUUAAAAGGCUUCUCACCACACCUUCUGCUCUCUGUUCUCUACACUCAAGUGGAAGAAUGGUACAAAGCCCCCCUCUCCCUGCCCUUCUCACCCAGUUCCUCCUGACAGGAGGAAAAUCUAAGAAGAGCCAAAGGAAACUACAGAAACAACUCUGGGUCCUAUCUACACAGGGAACAAUUUCCACAUCUGAAUUUUGCUGCUGCUAGAGGGCUGGGUGUAGCUUUACUAUUGCUUCUUUCUCUCUGUGUCCUCUGCUUGCCAUGGAUCCAUGUGGAUACUGUUUGUAUCCACAGACAAACAUUGUCAAGCCAGUCAAUGGAAGAAUCUUUCCAUCACCAACUCCCAAAGACUGUCCUUCUUUCCACCUGAUGCUCACCCACUCAUGCAAAGGGGAAACAAGAAAAAAAAUAAUCACAUAAUCAGUUUUGGUUCACUUCUUCUUUCUUUGUUACACCCAGCCAUCAGCUUUAUGGAUUAUCUUUUAUUGAACAGUGUGGGCUGAGCCAUGUAAGGGCAAGUUUUCAGGGAUACAUCAGCAUUUUUGUGACCAUGUGUCACAAAAGGUACAUGAUCAGAGGCUGAAGACAAACACAUGCGUCGCUGACACCUUACUGGGACUGUGCACAAUUGCACUGGUUAAUGUGAAUAGUCAAAAUUGGGCAAGAGCAUAAAGGCUCUUCACACUAAAACAAACAAAAGCUCUGUGGUAAUGAGCCAUGACAUCCCACCUUAGCUGGUAUACCCUUGUGCCAUCUCUGUGGCAGAGAGCUGUGAUGAUGUGCUAUACCUCUGGACACAGAAAGCAAAGUCAAAAGGGGUACAGUGUCCUUAGAUAAGUCAGAAAUAUGGAGGGAAACCAUUUGGGAAGUUUUAAUCAUUGAUUCAGAAAAGCCACAAUCUGAUAAAAAUCACUGCUUGGAUAUAAAUCCAAUCAAUGAAUUCUUAAUUGAUAAGUUUGCUAGGGCAAACUCUGUGGAAUUCAGUGGGACCACAACCAUGUGGUUGUGCCUGAUGACACCUGAUGACACCUGAGUUUCUGUCCCUUACUUACUCUAAUUGCAACUUCUUCAAAUAAAUAAUUCAACUAGUUGUUUUGUGAAAGUAAACCAAAAAGACAGCUACAAUCCAUUUAACACCCAACUAGGGGAACACAACACUUCUUUCUCCAUGAGCUCCUCUGCUUUGUUACAAUCCUCUCCUUCCCAGCAGUCAUGUCCAGGGCUCUCUCAGUCCAGCACCACCUAAACCCAAAUGGGUUCUUGGGAAUGGUUUCCCUUCCCCAGUGAAGGUACUCACUGCUUCUUACAAACCUCAUCUCUUCCACUAAUUAUUGUCCUCACUUUUGCGUGCCCAUGGCUCUCUUUUAGUCAUCUCUUCCCUAAUACCUCUUUGAUGACUAGAAGAGAACAGAAGGAGAGGAGAUGAUUCAUACAAACUAAACUGGGGGUUGAACUUCGUUCAGUUCUGCAUUUUUUCUGAAACAGAGCAGGGGAAACUGCCAGCAGAGCCUCCUCAACCAGUCCAUUCGCUCGCUACCACCCCAACACUACCCCCAUUUUUCUGCAAGCCAUAAGAGUCACUGAAAAGAAGGUGGUGAUUUUUCUGUCAUUCUGAGCCCAAAGAAAGUCUCUGGUUUGGCUGCAUGCAAGGUGGCAAAUUUAAUUCUCUUCUCUUAACUGCUUCUUCACUAAAUCUAUGCUGCCUUCUAAUCUCCUGCAUCCCUGUAGAAAAGUCACGACUGAAGACUCAAGUUGUCAAAACAUCACUUGUCUCUUCCACCAACACUGGUGGAAGCAUGGCUGGGCUGAGCCAGAGCGAAGUGGAGCGAGCUUUGAGAAAGUCCCUGUUUCCAAUUUAGCACAGCUCCCAGGAGGUAUUACAUUUCCUGGUGCAGAGCAGAAAACGCUUUGAGAUCCUCAAGCACAAAGCCUUGUUGUUUUAUUCAUUUGUACUGCUGAGCAAAUUCUCUUUUUGAGGCUUCCAGUGGGGAAAUUUCCUCCAGUUUCUCCAUAGAAGAGUCCAGAUUAAAGCUACCUUUACCCUUUUAAGGUCUAGAAAGCAUGAUUUUUCAAAGACAGCCUUUAUUUCCUGUACUCCUGGAAGAUCUUUUUAAUUGCAAGAAAUACUCUCUUCCUAAUUACAAAAGCAUUUGAGCUCAUCCUCUAUUCAGUUGUGUUGGCAGAGCCUCUGGAAGAGUUCUUCAACCUGAAACUUCCAAGGAAUCUGUUAGGAAACCCAUCACAGCUUCCAGAUAACACGCUGCCAGCUUUAUUAAAAGAGCAAUGCUCGAGCAGGCUUGCACUCGCAUUGCAGUCAUUCUUGGCACUCCUGCUGCUUCCUCCAUCCAAGAAUUCUGCACCGCUCAUUCCACUGGCUGCCUCUUCCUACCAUCCCCACAACGAGUGCACCAAGCACCUCCCAGGAUCACCUGGAGCGCGGGAUUUUGAACUGCUUUUGACAAAGACUCUGAUGUGCUCCCCACUCCUCCCCAGGGAGCUGAGCUGGGCAGCAGCACUCGGAGAGGGUUUUACAGCAGCAGCGUGUGCAGGGUGGCUUCUCAUGGUCCCAGCCUCUCUGAGGUCCCACGUGUCUAACACAACUCCAUCCCCAAGCAUUGGGAUACAGUUAACCAACCAAAUCCCAAGGUUUUUCUUGAAUUUUCCCCAGAUUACUACCAGGGCAAGUUUGCUGCUGCUUCAAAACAAUGUUUCUCUGAUUACAACCUAGGCUGACAAUUAUAGUGAUUUAAACCCUAACUAAUUGUGAAGUACUUUGAUCAUGCUUAGCACAACUUGUGGUUUGUAGGCUGCAAAUAGUUGAAAGGAACUCUUGGGUUCACAAUUUCCUUGAAUAUAAAUUUUAUUUUGAUAUAUAAGGUAUGAUUAAAAUAUUAAAAUAAAGUUUGUGUUUGUUUUU